rnacentral:rRNA from 1 species
GAUGAACGCUGGCGGCGUGCCUAAUACAUGCAAGUCGAGCGAACGGACGAGAAGCUUGCUUCUCUGAUGUUAGCGGCGGACGGGUGAGUAACACGUGGAUAACCUAUCUAUAAGACUGGGAUAACUUCGGGAAACCGGAGCUAAUACCGGAUGAUAUUUUGAACCGCAUGGUUCAAAAGUGAAAGACGGUCUUGCUGUCACUUAUAGAUGGAUCCGCGCUGCAUUAGCUAGUUGGUAAGGUAACGGCUUACCAAGGCAACGAUGCAUAGCCGACCUGAGAGGGUGAUCGGCCACACUGGAACUGAGACACGGUCCAGACUCCUACGGGAGGCAGCAGUAGGGAAUCUUCCGCAAUGGGCGAAAGCCUGACGGAGCAACGCCGCGUGAGUGAUGAAGGUCUUCGGAUCGUAAAACUCUGUUAUUAGGGAAGAACAUAUGUGUAAGUAACUGUGCACAUCUUGACGGUACCUAAUCAGAAAGCCACGGCUAACUACGUG